GCCAGCCCCAGUUGGAGAAGAAGAACCAGAUGCUAGAGAAGGAGGCUGAUCACCGAUCGUCGCUGCACCGGAGCCACCAUUGGCGCCAAAAGAGGUAAAAAUUCCUUCUACCCGCUCGAAAUUUGAUUUUGAGUACCUCUAUGAUCAAAUCAUAGCAAGAGAGACAGCGAGCGAGCCAGAAAUCGCGGGCAAAGCCUUGUAGAACCAUCGCAGCAAAAA
rnacentral:lncRNA from 1 species